CUGCUGACUCCCAUAGUCCCUCCCACCCUCUGAGUAAGAUCUGGCAGCGAUCCUGCUCUGCUUGCCAGGUCUCCUCCAUGCGGUCCAGUGAGUGAGGGGAAGAGGUGGGGCAAGAGCCAUGGGAAGUUAGGUCACUUCCUGUGGCUCCUGUCCUGCAAGUGAGGAGAAAGAUAAGCCUCGCAGAGACACCAGGUAAGGUCUUCC